CAUCUAGGUAGUGUAGCUGAGCUAGCUAUAUAGCCCUGCAGUAUUCAUCUAGGUAGUGUAGCUGAGCUAGCUAUAUAGCCCUGCAGUAUUCAUCUAGGUAGUGUAGCUGAGCUAGCUAUAUAGCCCUGCAGUAUUCAUCUAGGUAGUGUAGCUGAGCUAGCUAUAUAGCCCUGCAGUAUUCAUCUAGGUAGUGUAGCUGAGCUAGCUAUAUAGCCCUGCAGUAUUCAUCUAGGUAGUGUAGCUGAGCUAGCUAUAUAGCCCUGCAGUAUUCAUCUAGGUAGUGUAGCUGAGCUAGCUAUAUAGCCCUGCAGUAUUCAUCUAGGUAGUGUAGCUGAGCUAGCUAUAUAGCCCUGCAGUAUUCAUCUAGGUAGUGUAGCUGAGCUAGCUAUAUAGCCCUGCAGUAUUCAUCUAGGUAGUGUAGCUGAGCUAGCUAUAUAGCCCUGCAGUAUUCAUCUAGGUAGUGUAGCUGAGCUAGCUAUAUAGCCCUGCAGUAUUCAUCUAGGUAGUGUAGCUGAGCUAGCUAUAUAGCCCUGCAGUAUUCAUCUAGGUAGUGUAGCUGAGCUAGCUAUAUAGCCCUGCAGUAUUCAUCUAGGUAGUGUAGCUGAGCUAGCUAUAUAGCCCUGCAGUAUUCAUCUAGGUAGUGUAGCUGAGCUAGCUAUAUAGCCCUGCAGCAUUCAUCUAGGUAGUGUAGCUGAGCUAGCUAUAUAGCCCUGCAGUAUU